rnacentral:rRNA from 1 species
UGGGGAAUAUUGCGCAAUGGUCGAAAGACUGACGCAGCGACGCCGCGUGUGGGAGGAAGCCCUUCGGGGUGUAAACCACUGUCGGGAGGGACGAAUCCCGUACGGGCGAAUAGCCCGGACGGUUGACGGUACCUUCAAAGGAAGCACCGGCUAACCCUGUGCCAGCAGCCGCGGUAAUACAGGGGGUGCAAGCGUUGUUCGGAAUUACUGGGCGUAAAGCGCGGGCAGGUGGCCUUUUAAGUCCUGUGUGAAAUCCCGGAGCUCAACUCCGGAUGUGCAUAGGAUACUGGAAGGCUAGGGACUGGUAGAGGCGAGCGGAAUUCCUGGUGUAGCGGUGGAAUGCGUAGAUAUCAGGAAGAACACCGGUGGCGAAGGCGGCUCGCUGGGCCAGAUCCGACACUCAUCCGCGAAAGCGUGGGGAGCAAACAG